rnacentral:rRNA from 1 species
GAUGAACGCUGGCGGCGUGCCUAAUAUAUGCAAGUCGAGCGAACGGACGAGAAGCUUGCUUCUCUGAUGUUAGCGGCGGACGGGUGAGUAACACGUGGAUAACCUACCUAUAAGACUGGGAUAACUUCGGGAAACCGUAGCUAAUACCGGAUAAUAUUUUGAACCGCAUGGUUCAAAAGUGAAAGACGGUCUUGCUGUCACUUAUAGAUGGAUCCGCGCUGCAUUAGCUAGUUGGUAAGGUAACGGCUUACCAAGGCAACGAUGCAUAGCCGACCUGAGAGGGUGAUCGGCCACACUGGAACUGAGACACGGUCCAGACUCCUACGGGAGGCAGCAGUAGGGAAUCUUCCGCAAUGGGCGAAAGCCUGACGGAGCAACGCCGCGUGAGUGAUGAAGGUCUUCGGAUCGUAAAACUCUGUUAUUAGGGAAGAACAUAUGUGUAAGUAACUGUGCACAUCUUGACGGUCCCUAAUCAGAAAGCCACGGCUAACUACGUG